rnacentral:lncRNA from 1 species
AGUGUCUUCUGAUUGUCAUGGCAUAAAUAGUUUGAUCCUGGGCAGUCUCAAGCUACUACUUGAUGUCAUUGAACAUGGAGUUGUGCAUCAUAGGCUCUUGAAAGUCAAAGCAAGUUAAUUCUAGUACACCAUUGGGGAAGGGAGAAGAAACAGCAAAUACAAAUGAGUCAGGUCAUAGGAAACAUGUAGCUCUGGCAAUAAGCACUGAAGUUAUCACAUCAUGUACAAAAUAGAGCAAUAAGUGUUGGCAGUCUGAAUUGAAAUGAAUAACGUUAAAUUUACCAAGUAGGCAGACUAAGCACAUACUUAGGGCACCAGUAGAGUAGAAGAACCAAGGAAAGGAAAAGAAAAAAAUUAUCUCUGAAGAAAUUAUUAAUAAGUUUGUAAUCAGUAAAUUUGGAAGAAAUGUCAAAGAAAAAUUAUUAUAACUCUUGUUAAAGUGGUAAGGGAGACUUUUUUCAAGAUUAUUGUAACAGAGGAGAGACUAUUGCAAUAGGGGAGAGCGACUGAACUCAACUUCAAAUAUAGCAAUGACAGUUGAAUGUUUACACAGCUUAUGAGCAGAGUGAGAGGGUCAGUGGAUAGAACAUUACUAAGAGGAGACCUCAAGGUUAGGGAUAUUCUUGCCGAACUAUCUUAACAGGUAGGCCAAAGUUGAAUCUUAGUCAAGAAGAGGUCUCAGAGAAACCUAAUUAAAGUUUGGUCAAGGAGGGUGUCUUUAUCAGAAGCUAUUUUAAUUUUAACAUGCAUAUAAGUUUAGAAAUAUUGAAUUAUAAUAGAAAUGAGAGUACCUCAAUCUUUUUAAUUCUUAGAGCUUCUAGUUCUGGAGAUGGGGAAAAGAUAUUUGGAGAGAGUCAAAAGAUAUUAAUGCUGUAGAAAUAGAAUUUCCUGGCUGAUUAGGGAUAAGAGAGAGGAAUAAAUCAAGAAUUACCCCACUUUUCUAACUUCUGCAACUUAUUUGAUGGUAGUGCCUGUGAUUUGGUAACAUUUGAAGUGGAGAACAUUUGGAAAUAAUAUGUAUCAGACAUAUUUGAAUUCGAAGUACUUCAAAAACAUCAAGUGGAGAUGUCCAAUAGGCAGUCAAGCUUAUAAAUUUGAAGCUCAGCAGAGAAAAUGUGGCUGGAUUUAUAUGUUUGUGAGUCAUAAGUAUAUAGCCUGUAAUUUUAACCAAGAAAAUUCCUCUUAGGAAAAGGAUAUAGAGUGAGAAAAGAGAAGAGGGUCAAGAAAAGAUCCCUGAGGAACCCCAAUUUAUGGAAGAAUCCAGCAAAGGAGACUGAGGAAUGGUUAGUAGGGUAAGAGGAAAAUUAAUAGACAAUGGUGUCCCAGGGCCCAAGAGAGGUAACUCUUUCAAAGAAGGAAUUAUCAACUGUUAGGGCAUCACGAAAGAAGACAACAGAGAUGUGUCCAUUGGAUUUGGCAACAUGGAGGUCUUCAGUGCCCUUGACAAGCGUAGUUUCAGUGGUGUGAUGGAGAUGGAAGCCAUUUCAGAGUGCACUGAAGAAUGAAUGGGAAAUUAGGAAGAGGAGUCAAUGAGAAUAGAUAAUUCCUGAGAAAAAAUUUAAUCUCAAGAGCUGUUGAGAAAUUGAGUGGUAGGGGUAGGUGGAGAGGAAUAUGGAUCAAGGGAGAGAUUUUCAAAGAUGAAUGAUACUAGAGCAGGUUUAGGUGCUACCAUGAUCUAUUAGAAUGAUCUAUCUAGUACAGAGGGAGAGAUUAAGGAUGUAAGUGAAGUCUAUGAAGAUACUGGAUCAAAAUGGAUGCAGAAUACAGGUGGAGAAAUGACCUUAAACAGCAGGCACUCAUAAUGUGUAAACUCACUUUUUGGCACAGACAUUAUUGAUAGAAUGUCUCACAGUCUGUGGAUAGAUGGAACAUCAGGACAUGAAAAUAUUGUAGCAUUUAGACUCUUCUGAUGUUUUUAAAACCUGUACCCCCAGUCUCUUCAUUAAUAAAAUAGUUAUAUCACCUUCAGAACAGGGGGCCCCUCAAAACAACAGAGACUUGUGUUUCAUUUUAACAACUAUUUUUUGAAUACUUAAAUUGUGCUAUGCAAUGCUCUAAAUGCUGGAAAUAAAAUAGCGAACAAGCUAUACCUGGUUAUUUCUCUUAUAGAGCUUAGAGUCUAGUGGGAGAAAAGUAUAUCAAACAAAUAACUAUAAUGCAGUGUGAUAAGAUCUAUGAUUGGAGAAGUACUCUGUCAAUGCAUAGGAAGGACACUACAUCUUAUCUGGGAAUAGAAGAGUUAGAGUCAGAGAACUUCUAGAAAGAGAUAUUAAAUUGGCAUAUGAAAGAUAAAUGAGUUAUCCAGAAGAAUGAGGUCAAGAAGUAGGGUGUAAGGAAGAGUUCCAGUUACAUGUAACCAUAUCGAUGAAGACCUUGACACAGAGGGAGUGUGAUGCAGUUGAAGAUCAUAAGGUCAGGGUGACUGGACUUCAGAGAGUGAAAGGUGGGAGACCAGCCUAGAGAGGUGGCAGGGACCAGAUUAUGCAUGGUCUUACAUACUAUGUUCAGGAUUCUGGUAUUUAUUGCAAGACCCACGGGAAGACAUAGAAGGGAUAUAGGCAAGGAAAAGAGCUCAGACAGGAUUUAUAUUUUGAAAACAUGCUAGCUGCAAUGCUAAGAAUUGAUUGGAGGGGCCAAGAGUAAAGUCUGCAGAGUUGAGAGGAUAUUGCAGUAGUAGGGAUGAGAAAUUGUGAUGACAUUUGCUAGGAUAAUAGUGGUAGAGAUGGAGAGAAGUAGAAGUAUUUUAGAAUUAUUUGGAAAUUAAUAGCUCUUGAUAAAGAACUGGAUAUGGAGAAUGAAGAAGCAGGAUCGGGUCAAUGAUUCCUAGGUUUUUGGCUUGAACAACUGGUUGGAUGAGAUGAUAGCAGCUUUUACUGAGAGAAGAAAGGCAGAGUAGGAGCCUGGGGGUGAAGGUAGAGACUGGAGAUAAUCAAAGUUUGCUUUUUAAGAAGGACUAACUCACUGUCAUCAUUCUCCUAUCAGAUGUAGUUGCUAAGACUCCAACCUUAAAAAUGCCAAGAAUAUCUGAAAAGCUCCAGUAUUACUUUUAUCUUCUUUUUCUUUUUUUCUUUUUAUAACCACACCUGCAGCAUUUGAAAGUUCCUAGGCUAGGGUCGAAUCAGAGGUGUUGGUGAAUAUGCCAUGGCAACACCAGAUCCUUAACCCACUGAGUGAGGCCAGGGAUCAAACUUGCAAACUAAUGGAUUGAACCCGCAACCUCAUGGUUCCUAGUCAGAUUCCUCUCUGCUGCACCACGACGGGAAAUCCUUUUUAUCUUCUUAAUAUCUUGAGUGGCUAUGGAUGGAUGAAGGGUUUAGCUUAUUUUUUUUUUUUUUACUUACUAUCCUUGACCUUCAUAGUUCAUUUUUAUUAUACUUCUUUUUCUGACAUCAUUAUUGCAUUUUUUGAGCCAUAUUUACCAAUAGACCAACAGUGCAUUUAUGUUCUUGAUGAAUUCAACUCUUAGUAGGGACACAAAUUUAUAGUAGGAACACUAUAGGUAUAUGCUUCUUACUUUUUUAUUGUGUACUUUUUCAAACAUGUGUAUAUAUAAGAAUACAGUAAUAGAUUACUGUACUCUCAUCAACCAACUUCAAUAUUUAUCAAUUUACUGCCAAUCAUAUUUAAUUCCUCUAGAGAGUAUGGGCUUUAAAGGAAAAUAACUUCAAUAUCAUUAUUAUUCAUAAAACAAUUUAAAAUAUUCCUUAAUAUUAUAACAUUUCCAUUUAGUGUUUUAAUUUUCCUGAAUGCCUAAUUUUUCUUUUACAGUUUGUUUGAAACAGGACUCAAAUAAGGUCCAUACUUUAUUUUUGUUUAUGUCAAGUCUCUCAAUUUGUUGGUUCUCUGUCUGUUUUUAUUUUUAAAUUAUUGUUUCAGUUUAUUUUUUGAAGAAAAUUUGUUUAUCCUGUAAAGUUUCUCACAUUCUAGAUUUUGCUCAUCACAUUUUUGAAGUGUUAACAUAUGCUUCCUGGUAGAUCUGGAACCUUGAUCUGAUACAACAUUGAUUUUUUUUCUUUUGUUUUUGGAAUUCACGUUGUGGUGCAACAGAAAUGAAUCUGACUAGUAUCCAUGAAAAUGCGGGUUUGAUCCCUGGCCUCGCUCAGUGGGUCGGGGAUCUGGUGUUGCCGCAAGCUGUGGUGUAGGUCACAGACAUGGCUUGGAUCCUGGGUUGCUGUGGCUGUGGCGUAGGCCAGCAGCUGUCACCUCAAUACGACCCCUAGCCUGGGAACUUACAUAUG